ensembl:miRNA mdo-mir-7371q mdo-mir-7371q
AUUUGGACAAGGUGCUCUGUUUUGUGGAUUGUCCCAAAAAGAGCAUCUUGUCCAUAGAG